rnacentral:rRNA from 1 species
AUGACACUCCUAAGUUGGAACUGUCGGGGCCUAGGGCAACCCCGCACGAUUCAUGAACUAGUGCAACUAGUUCACACGCAUAAGCAAAUAGUUUUUAUCUCGGAAACAAGGCAAAGCAGUGAGAGAGUGAAUAAUUUGAGGUGGAGGCUUGGCCUCAAGCAUUGUAUUGUGCAGCCGGGCUCCGGUAAAGGUGCCGGCAUUGCACUCUUCUAUGAUGAGAGUGUUGAAAUAAAAGAACUUGGCGUUGGCCCGAGGUACAUCGAUGUGUUGAUCCGCCUGUGUCCGAAUGGGGUUCAAUGGAGAGGUACUUUUGUGUACGGAGAACUGAAAACACAUGAGAGGCACCAUAUGUGGGAACUUCUGAGAAGAAUCCGAAAUAAUGCAGCUGAACCGUGGCUAAUGAUAGGAGAUUUUAACGAGGCUAUGUGGCAAAGCGAGCAUCUAUCCAGAGCUAGGAGAUCAGAGAAAGGUAUGGCUGAGUUCAGAACGCUGUUGUCAGACUGUAAUCUGCAUGAUGUGGGUUUCAAAGGUACAGUAUGGGCCUACGAUAACAAACAACGAGGCCAGAAAAAUGUGAAGGUUCGGCUAGAUAGAGGAGUAGCGAGCCCAGAUUGGAGCAGUUUAUUUAAAUAG